GGGAGUGACGAGAGCGCGAGCCAGGUAGCAGCCAGGAAGACCUGUUGGGCUAUAACCUGGUGUCGUGUGAUUUCUGACCUUGUCCACUCCAUGUCCAACACCGGCACGUCCACAUCAGAACUGAGGAGAGAUAAAGCCCUUCGUCUUGCACUCAUCAGAACUCAUACCUCUGGCCUAGGGAUUAGGACACUACCCGUGCACCACAAGAGACCAAAGAACUUCUAAAAAAAAGGGUAUCAGCUGAUUUCAAAUGCAAGGACUAGUUAAUAAAAUUAC